UUUUUAGUAUGUGGUCGUAGACCCGAAACCGUGUGACCUACCCAUGUCCAGGGUGAAGGUAAGGUAACACUUACUGGAGGCCCGAACCCACGUACGUUGAAAAGUGCGGGGAUGAGGUGUGGGUAGCGGUGAAAUGCCAAUCGAACACGGAGAUAGCUGGUUCUCUCCGAAAUAGCUUUAGGGCUAGCCUCAAGAUAAGAGUUUUGGAGGUAGAGCACUGAUUGGACUAGGGGCCCUCAUCGGGUUACCGAAUUCAGUCAAACUCCGAAUGCCAACAACUUCGUCUUGGGAGUCAGACUAUGGGUGAUAAGGUUCAUAGUCGAGAGGGAAACAGCCCAGACCGCCAGCUAAGGUCCCUAAGUAUACGUUAAGUGGAAAAGGAUGUGGAGUUGCUUAGACAACCAGGAUGUUGGCUUAGAAGCAGCCAUCAUUUAAAGAGUGCGUAAUAGCUCACUGGUCGAGUGACUCUGCGCCGAAAAUAUACCGGGGCUAAACGUAUCACCGAAGCUGCGGAUUGUACCGUAGGUACAAUGGUAGGAGAGCGUUCUAAGGGCUGUGAAGUCAGAUCGAAAGAACUGGUGGAGCGCUUAGAAGUGAGAAUGCCGGUAUGAGUAACGAAAGACAAGUGAGAAUCUUGUCCACCGAAAGCCUAAGGUUUCCUGAGGAAGGCUCGUCCGCUCAGGGUUAGUCGGGACCUAAGCCGAGGCCGAAAGGCGUAGGCGAUGGAAAACAGGUUGACAUUCCUGUACCACCUUACAUCUGUUUAAGCAAUGGGGUGACGCAGUAGGAUAAGGAAAGCGUGCUGUUGGAUAUGCACGUCCAAGCAGUGAGAGUGUUGUGUAGGUAAAUCCGCACAACGUAAGCUCAAGCUGUGAUGGGGAGGGAAAUUGAGUACCGAAGUUCCUGAUUUCACACUGCCAAGAAAAGCCUCUAGUGANAGGCGAUGGAAAACAGGUUGACAUUCCUGUACCACCUUACAUCUGUUUGAGCAAUGGGGUGACGCAGUAGGAUAAGGAAAGCGUGCUGUUGGAUAUGCACGUCCAAGCAGUGAGAGUGUUGUGUAGGUAAAUCCGCACAACGUAAGCUCAAGCUGUGAUGGGGAGGGAAAUCGAGUACCGAAGUUCCUGAUUUCACACUGCCAAGAAAAGCCUCUAGUGAGGAUGUGGGUGCCCGUACCGCAAACCGACACAGGUAGGCGAGGAGAGAAUCCUAAGGUGAGCGGGAUAACUCUCGUUAAGGAACUCGGCAAAAUGACCCCGUAACUUCGGGAGAAGGGGUGCUCGUUCAGGCUUCGGUCUGGAUGAGCCGCAGUGAAAAGGCCCAAGCGACUGUUUAUCAAAAACACAGGUCUCUGCGAAGCCGAAAGGCGAAGUAUAGGGGCUGACACCUGCCCGGUGCUGGAAGGUUAAGGGGACGAGUUAGUCCUUCGGGACGAAGCUUAGAACCGAAGCCCCAGUAAACGGCGGC
rnacentral:rRNA from 1 species